rfam:Bacillus marisflavi strain JCM 11544 super9, whole genome shotgun sequence.
AUCAUAUCAUCGCUUAAUUCUUUACAGAAGCGGGGGACCCGAGUUCAUACAGGGGUGAAUCCUUCUAAGGUAGGGCUGCUUCCAUGGCCCGAAUCCGUCAGCUAACCUCGUAAGCGUAAAUGGGAGUGAAU